CUCUUAUUCCAAUUUGAAUAUUGAACUUCUAAUGCUAAUAUUUCUUUUUUGAAUUAUUGUAUUGCUCUCAAAUUUCAUCCAAACAUUGAAAAUUGAGACUAAAGUUGAUAUAAAAAAAUUCAUUUUAAUCCAAUAGAUAGAUUUCUAAAAAACUUAGAAAUACUCAUUGACCCUCAAAUUCUAAUCUUUAAGACCUCAA
rnacentral:lncRNA from 1 species